ensembl:lncRNA LOC102554815 uncharacterized LOC102554815
CACCCGCCCACGUGGCCAGCGCCCCGCCCUCUGAGUUCCGCCCAACCGGGCAAGACCCGAGCUGCUCCUGAGCGUGCGCAGAGACAAGGAGCGCCUGAGCUCGCAUUGAGUCCGCUGGUUUCCUUCUUGGACCAACAGAACGCGUACGUUGGUGUUCCCGGUUGUCAGUUGUAGAAGAACAGAGAAAUAAAGGACCCUGAGACGUCCGCUGCCGCGGUAGCGGCAUUUUUCUCUUCCUCACAAAACAGUAUUGUAAAAACCUUACUGUUAAGAGUGAUUGGGGUGGUUUGGUUGGGCUAGAGUCAGGACAGAGGUGUCAAGCUGCAACUACAGCAGAUCUGGGACUUAAGGAGUUUGUCUCGGGCUGCUCAGCCUCCCAAGUGCGAGAACUGCAGACGCGAGCCACCACACCUGGCUUUCAAGGGAACUUGGACGGUUGGGAAAACAAUGAUCCAGAGAGGCAUUGCCAUCCAUACGAUUCUGACAACAAGUUCACUGUGCUGUGUCCAGAGGCGAUGAGAAAGAAGUGAUGUGUCUCCACUUGAAGAGUCAUAUACAUGACAAGGAUAACAGACAACGGUCAGGGGCUUGGAAGCAAAGGAUGAGGGGCCAUGAGACAUCUCGGAUGCACCCAGGAAAAUGUGACUCUGAUUCCUUGAAGCACUGCUUAUUGAAGCACGGUGUUGUAAGGACUUCCUAACAGAUAUAUUUACACGGAGUGCCUUGCAGUAUACCAGAGUCCCAAAACGACAAGAAGAUUAGGGGUGGUCCAUGUGCUGAGCCACCUAAAGGAUCCUUCCAUUUGACCAUAUUGAAAGAGGAUUGUGUAUGAGGAUGCCAAAAUCUAUCUUCAGCAGAUCUGCCGUCCUUGUCUAAUGGGAAAAAUGUAAUCCCUUGAGGAUUAUAAGAAUUCCCUGUUUCACGAGUUAUGUUAAAUUGUGACCAAAACUUCAUAAAUGACUUUCUAAGUCUAACUCAUCUUCAUCUGGGAAUUCGGCCAGAGAAGGGAGAGGAGGCACAGGGGCAGCUGCAGAUGGUUGCUCCCCAGCACCCUGCGUUCUUCAAUGUCCUCAACUACUACUCAGCUUGUGUAAUUUUUGAGACUCAUGGCCAGGAUCUAAAUCAUCCCUGAUUAAAGCCCACAAAGGAAAAGAAAAAGAAGAACAGGAAGAAGAGGAGGAGGAUAAAGGAGGAAGGAGGAAGAAGAAGAUCCAUUCUACAUUAUCUUCAAAAAAUACAACAUUGAUAGGUUGAUCUUACCAAAACUCUUAAGGUCUACUUUGAAAUCUAUAAAAGUUAAGUGAAACAUUAUGUACCUAGACAAACAAAUUCAAAGACGUCCAAAGUCUAUCUACAUAACCACACUGAUGUCAAAUUGGAAAAUUUAGUUUAAAAUAACCAAAAACAUAUAAAUGUUCUUAUGGAACUACAAAAUUCCAGGCCGUGAAAGCAGCUGAAAAGGACAACUACCCUCUCCCAUUCCAGCCUGAGCAAAGCAGGCUCGUGGACCAGUGACACCCAGAAAUUAAGAGGUUUUUGGAACCCAGGAGAUCUUGGAAGGCUGCUCUGCAGCUGUCAUCACCACAAGAUGAAUAUAUUGAAUUGCACUGCAAAUGAUAUGGAUAUCGUUUGGACCACCCUGAGUAAAGGAGAAAGAAAGAAGGUUGGGAGGCCCAUGAACGUUCAACAAAGGCCAAAAAAGAAAAAAAAAAAAAGAUUGGCCUGAGGCUAAGCUCUACCAUAAAUUGGCCAUGCAAAGAAAAUACAAAUAAAAAGACUAUUAAGAUGCAUAAAAAGAAAAACACCAAGCAGAAGGAUGAGGAGAAGACUCCACAGGAGCCGUGCCUGCCUACCUGCUGGACAGAGAGGGGCAGUCAAGAGCAAAAGUACUUUCCAACACGAUUAAGCAGAAAAGGAAAGGUGGGAAAACGCGAGUUCCCUCUACCCAAAGUUCGUGCCCAAGGAGAAGCAGAUGUAUUCAAAGUUAUUCGAACAGGAAAAAGAAAAAUCAUGGAAGAGAAUGGUUACAAAAAGUCUUUGUUGGUGAUGGUUUUACAAGAAAACCACCUAAAUAUGAAAGGUUCAUUAGGCCACUGGGUCUAUGUUUCAGAAAAGCCCAUGUCACACACCCUGAGCUGAAAGCUACCUUUUGCCUGCCUAUACUUGAUGUGAAAAAGGAUCCACCAUCCCCAUUAUAGACAACCCUGGGUAUGAUCACCAGAGUAUGAUCACCUGAGGUACAGUUAUUGAAGUGAUUGUGAGCAAGCUGGGCCUUGUGACACAAGGAGGCAAGAUGAUUUGGGGAAAGUGUGCCCAAGUUACCAACUAUCCCAAAAAUGAUGGGUGCAUAAAUGCAGUCUUGCCGGUUUGGCAGUGACCUCAUACAAGUCAUCCCACUCACUACCGAAGACUACACACUGUCAGGAAAACACCAUCGCUGUGAUCUUUCUGAACUACCAAUCAGCCUUACCCCAUGUGCAGUCAUCAAGAAGAAUUUAUUAAAUUGUAAAGGAAAAUAAAACACUGUCCAAUUAAAAAAAAAAGAAAGCAGUUGUAAGAAAAAUAAAGCUGGAAAUACACAUUCACUGACUUCCCAAAAUACAGCAUUGGAUUAAUCAAAACAUUUUGACAGUUCUGUAAAAACAAGCACGGAACACAGACAGCAUUCACACAGAUAUCUACACACACACACACACACACACACACACACACACACACACACACACACACACACAUACACACACAGCUGCUACUGCUUCCUAAACGUGUACAGGAAGUGCAAGAGGAAAGGAGAGUGUCUUUCAUGAUGCACGUUUGGAUAUCUAGCAGCGGAACGAAAUGGGCUCUCACAGUUCACACCAAAGUCAAAUAAAAAAUUAUUGUAGUCUACCGUGAGCCCUUUUUUAUGGUAUACCUACUUUUAAUCUUUUGAGGGUUUGUCAGUCCGGUUUCCAGAGUGGAUGGAUUCCUUUAAAAUUUCCCCCAAAAUCCACCACUGCUUCCUUUCUAUCAUACUGUCAGUUGUUUGAUUGGUCUCUGCCAGCCAACUGACUGCAAUUACCACAAUUCUCAGCAACAGAUCAAAACCACAAUCUAUAAAAACAGCAUCAACUCACAGAAAAAACCUCCAUAAUUCUGAUAAUAGCCAAUAUAACAAACUUCCUUAAUCCAGAUAAUAAAUGCCCCCAAACAACAGAGUUUAUGUGCCUCAUAUUUCCAGUUCUACCAAACGGCUUGUCCAUGAGGAUUAGGCAAGCUGCCCCAGUAACGUUCUCACUCAGUAGCCUGCUUCAGUGCUGCUGCAGAACUCCCUUGAGUCAGCCUGACUCACAGAGAGUGAGCUUGAAACAACAGAGAGCACAGGCAUUUUCCAUCUCGUGGGAGUCAAAGACAGGGCUGGUGGAAAGGGAAGGCCAGGCAGCUCAGGCAUGCUGAGGAGAGGAGGAAGACUUAGGAUGGUGGUGUAUUCUCCACUAGGUUUUCAGGAGAUCUAGGGAAUGGGAAAAGUUGGGGCUGAGGUAUGCUGUUGCCAGGACCCCAGCAGAUGUGGGAGGACAAGACUAAGAUACUCAGAGAGGAGGAGG